GCUCAGGUCCCGGCUGGUAAUAAACUCCUGUGUGGAUUUAAUAUCGGUCUCUGGUUAGUUCUCUCUCACUGGGUACAACAUUCUUGGAGGCCCCAGCGAGAUGGCCAGCUGCUCUGGAGCUUAUUAUCUUUGAGCCUUUGUUUCUUUUCAGGAGAGACCAGGAUCAGGCAUCAGUGGUGUUUGGCCCCUCUGGACACCAGUCUGAGCAAGGAGAGGCCACCCUGAUAGUAUUCUGGGACUAGGCCACCCAGACGGUAUUCUGGGGCUCUGGGUAUGCUGGUCCCAGUAAGGCCCUAUCGCAGAUCAACAGACCCACAAGAGUUUAUUGGGGAAGCCACUAGAGGACUGACCUCUAUGGUCCAGGACAUCAGUUCCAGGUGUCAGGUGUGUUCACAGUUAAACUCCAAGGCAAGACCAAGGAACAAAGUCUCUCCAAACCUUACAGAUUCUUCAGAGUGAGAUCCAGGCUUCAA
rnacentral:lncRNA from 1 species